rnacentral:rRNA from 1 species
UCGCCCUUAGAGUUUGAUCCUGGCUCAGGAUGAACGCUAGCUACAGGCUUAACACAUGCAAGUCGAGGGGAAACGAUAGAGAAAGCUUGCUUUUUCUAGGCGUCGACCGGCGCACGGGUGAGUAACGCGUAUCCAACCUGCCCAUCACUUGGGGAUAACCUUGCGAAAGUAAGACUAAUACCCAAUGACGUCUCUAGAAGACAUCUGAAGGAGAUUAAAGAUUUAUCGGCGAUGGAUGGGGAUGCGUCUGAUUAGCUUGUUGGCGGGGUAACGGCCCACCAAGGCGACGAUCAGUAGGGGUUCUGAGAGGAAGGUCCCCCACAUUGGAACUGAGACACGGUCCAAACUCCUACGGGAGGCAGCAGUGAGGAAUAUUGGUCAAUGGACGAGAGUCUGAACCAGCCAAGUAGCGUGCAGGAUGACGGCCCUAUGGGUUGUAAACUGCUUUUAUAAGGGAAUAAAGUGAGUCUCGUGAGACUUUUUGCAUGUACCUUAUGAAUAAGGACCGGCUAAUUCCGUGCCAGCAGCCGCGGUAAUACGGAAGGUCCGGGCGUUAUCCGGAUUUAUUGGGUUUAAAGGGAGCGUAGGCCGGAGAUUAAGCGUGUUGUGAAAUGUAGACGCUCAACGUCUGCACUGCAGCGCGAACUGGUUUCCUUGAGUACGCACAAAGUGGGCGGAAUUCGUGGUGUAGCGGUGAAAUGCUUAGAUAUCACGAAGAACUCCGAUUGCGAAGGCAGCUCACUGGAGCGCAACUGACGCUGAAGCUCGAAAGUGCGGGUAUCGAACAGGAUUAGAUACCCUGGUAGUCCGCACGGUAAACGAUGGAUGCCCGCUGUUGGUCUGAAUAGGUCAGCGGCC